CCUACGGGUGGCAGCAGUGAGGAAUAUUGGUCAAUGGACGAGAGUCUGAACCAGCCAAGUAGCGUGAAGGAUGACUGCCCUAUGGGUUGUAAACUUCUUUUAUAUGGGAAUAAAACGUUCCACGUGUGGGAUUUUGUAUGUACCAUAUGAAUAAGGAUCGGCUAACUCCGUGCCAGCAGCCGCGGUAAUACGGAGGGUCCGAGCGUUAUCCGGAUUUAUUGGGUUUAAAGGGAGCGUAGGUGGAUUGUUAAGUCAGUUGUGAAAGUUUGCGGCUCAACCGUAAAAUUGCAGUUGAAACUGGCAGUCUUGAGUACAGUAGAGGUGGGCGGAAUUCGUGGUGUAGCGGUGAAAUGCUUAGAUAUCACGAAGAACUCCGAUUGCGAAGGCAGUUCACUGGACUGCAACUGACACUGAGGCUCGAAAGUGUGGGUAUCAAACAGGACUAGAUACCCGUGUAGUC
rnacentral:rRNA from 1 species